GAACUACUGAAGAGUCCCAAAAUAGUACGAAACGGUCGUCCAGUUC
rfam:Schistosoma mattheei strain Denwood, Zambia genome assembly, scaffold: SMTD_scaffold0000762